UCCGUAGGGAGCAAGCGUUGUCCGGAAUCAUUGGGCGUAAAGCGCGCGUAGGUGGCCAUGUAAGUCCGCUGUGAAAGUCAAAGGCUCAACCUUUGAAAGCCGGUGGAUACUGCAUGGCUAGAGUACGGAAGAGGCGAGUGGAAUUCCUGGUGUAGCGGUGGAAUGCGCAGAUAUCAGGAGGAACACCAAUAGCGAAGGCAGCUCGCUGGGACGUUACUGACACUGAGGCGCGAAAGCGUGGGGAGCGAACAGG
rnacentral:rRNA from 1 species